rnacentral:ncRNA from 1 species
CGACGCUUGGAAUCAAGAUGCUUUGGGCCCGGGAAGUAAUAGCUGCCGAUCAAGGGGAUCUCUUCACGGCAGCCGGUAUAGCCGGUUAGGUGCGACCCGCAAGGGCGAGAAGGCAAUGGCAGGGCAGCGUAAAAACCCAACCACGGGCGCUGUCACUGUCCUAAAACCCACCAACCGCCAGACGCCGAAGAGGGCAGGGGGCGCAGUGGUAAACAAUCCCCGAAAGUCUGGAACGCCU